AUGUUAACUGAAAACUUUAUUACACGACAGAGGCCGAUAACUCGCUCCUGCAGUUUUGGGGACGCACUGAGCAGCAGCAGCACCUCUCAUGCUUUAACCCAUAGCACACACCAACACCAGGAAGAAGAGGGGUCGCCACGACAACGACGCAUUACCAUUCCAUCAUAUGUGCCUCGGUCUAAGGAUCAGAAUGGAAACUUUCCUGAGAAGGAUGUGGACAAGCAAGUCACCAAAUGUCUCAGGGAGCUGAACACAGAUGAAGUAUGCACGUGGUUUACCAAUAUUGGACUGCAGAAAUGUCUCCCUUUCAUCAAAGAAGCCAAACUGCGCGGCGCAGACAUAGCUUCAGUGGAUGUGGGCACGUUGGACCUCCUCCAGGUCACCACACUGGGAGAUAGAGAGCAGCUGCUGUCGGCUAUUUAUAAUGAGCUGCACCCUCCCAGCGCCAUCACCCAGAGACUCGACUCUCUGCUCGGUACACUUUUAUCUUUGCGACACGAAAAAAAGAAACAUUUUCCAUAUAUAUGUCACAUGAAGAAUGUUAAAGAGAAUAUUUACUGUUUUUUCCCCGUAAUAGAAUCUCCAGGGCCCAAUAAUGUGGAGACAUUCACUGCAACACUGGUGUCAAUGAGCAAGUCUACCUCUGCUCCACAUGUGAACUGCCUGAGCAUGAAUGGACGUUCCCUCAAACUCAGCCAGAACUACAUGGUGCAGAGGAAUUCUCAGCUGAUAGAGAUCACUAUUAAUGCAUCAGAGCGGAUCGUUCAUCUCAGAACCCCAAAGGAAACAACAGUAGGAAAAAUCAUGGAUUCGUGCAUCAAAAUGCUGGGAGUGGCAGAAGAUCAAAGUCUAUUGUCACUGAAAGAAAAGCAAGGUUCGUCAGAGGAGCUCCCACCAGAUCAGCAGAUUGGGAGUCUACUUGCAUCGACAUCAGAGAACAGACAGUUGGAGCUGCAUUUGUGUAAAACGGCGAAACCAACGACUACUGUCUCCCAAAACAGUCCAGAAGUCAAUAGCUCCGAUGAAAAUGCUAACAUCAACAAAAAUGUCCAGUGGAACCAGCCAGCGAAAGAAGAGAGGAUUAGGGAGCUGAACCAACAGGUGGACUCUCUGCAAAGCGUCAUCUUUCAGGUCCAGGAGCUCCACCACGGCCUGGUAGCUUUUUGUUCAGAGUUAAAGAACAUGGAUGGAGAUGUGAGUAUAGACAGGCUUGGCUCAGCUGAGCUGGAGCAGAGGCUGGAGUCGGUGAAGAGCCGACUGAGCGAUAAGAGGCAGAGCCUGCAGAGCCUCAGAGACAACAACAACAACAACUCAGCUGCUCACAAGAAGAAGCAGCUGGAAGUUCGUCUCUUGGAGAAGAUGAAGCUGAACUGCCAAGUGUUUAAGGAGGAGAUUUCCAUGGUACAUCUCAACCGACAGGCCGCUCACCUACAAAAUGCUUUGCAGGAAAGCAAGGAGAAAACUCGGAAAAAGAGUCUGGCCAUCGGUAGCCUGAGCCAGCUGGUGUCGCUGCAGUCUCCUGCCAUGCUCCUGGUUGUACAGGAGAAGCGGGGCCUGGAUGGCCAGUAUGGCUUUGCAUGUCGCUGCAGAGAGGGCAGCGGACUUGUGGUGGUCAAGGUUGACAACACUCACCUCUGUGUAGAGGACAGACUGGUGGAGGUGAACGGUGUGCCGGUAGUGAACUCCACACAGGAAGAACUUUCUGACCUCCUGCUGCAGGGACCCAGCGCUCAAAUAGUUGUUCUUCGCCAGCCCCCGCCCACACUCACCUGCAAGCAGCACCUGGUCAACACCAAUCCCAUGCAAACAAGCUGCCCAGAAAGUGAAGUGGUCACCAUGGAAACCCCUCCACGACGGAAAGUGAUGGCCAUCUGA
rnacentral:lncRNA from 1 species